rnacentral:rRNA from 1 species
CCUACGGGAGGCUGCAGUGAGGAAUAUUGGUCAAUGGGCGCAAGCCUGAACCAGCCAUCCCGCGUGAAGGAAGAAGGCGCUAUGCGUCGUAAACUUCUUUUCCAGAGGAAGAAAACCCCCGACGCGUCGGGGCUUGCCGGUACUCUGGGAAUAAGCAUCGGCUAACUCCGUGCCAGCAGCCGCGGUAAUACGGAGGAUGCAAGCGUUAUCCGGAUUUAUUGGGUUUAAAGGGUGCGUAGGCGGAUUAAUAAGUCAGUGGUGAAAACCUGCAGCUUAACUGUAGAACUGCCAUUGAUACUGUUAGUCUUGAGUACGGUCAAGGUAGGCGGAAUGUGUAAUGUAGCGGUGAAAUGCUUAGAUAUUACACAGAACACCGAUUGCGAAGGCAGCUUACUGGGCCAUUACUGACGCUGAUGCACGAAAGCGUGGGGAGCGAACAGGAUUAGAUACCCUGGUAGUC